rnacentral:rRNA from 1 species
GUAGGUGGCAAGCGUUGUCCGGGAAUUAUUGGGGCGUAAAGCGCGCGCAGGCGGUUCUUUAAGGCUGAUGUGAAAGCCCACGGGCUCAACCGUGAGGGUCAUUGGAAACUGGAGAACUUGAGUACAGAAGAGGAAAGCGGAAUUCCACGUGUAGCGGUGAAAUGCGUAGAGAUGUGGAGGAACACCAGUGGCGAAGGCGGCUUUCUGGUCUGUAACUGACGCUGAGGCGCGAAAGCGUGGGGAGCAAACAGGAUUAGAUACCCUGGUAGUCCACGCCGUAAACGAUGAGUGCUAAGUGUUAGGGGGUUUCCGCCCCGUUAGUGCUGCAGCUAACGCAUUAAGCACUCCGCCUGGGGAGUACGGCCGCAAAGGCUGA